UACAGAGGGGGCAAGCGUUGUUCGGAAUUACUGGGCGUAAAGCGCGCGUAGGCGGAUCUGCAAGUCGGGGGUGAAAUCCCGAGGCUCAACCUCGGAACUGCCUUCGAUACUGCGGGUCUCGAGUCCGGGAGAGGUGAGUGGAAUUCCUAGUGUAGAGGUGAAAUUCGUAGAUAUUAGGAAGAACACCAGUGGCGAAGGCGGCUCACUGGCCCGGUACUGACGCUGAGGCGCGAAAGCGUGGGGAGCAAACAGG
rnacentral:rRNA from 1 species